CCCUACGGGUGCCGAGCAUGGCCAGCGCAGUGCGCCUGCGGGCUGUCUCUGCAUCCCGCGCGCAGUGGGCGUUACUAACGGACCCCACCCGCCUCUGGGAGCUCAGAUACAGAGAUGCUUCAGGAACUGUGAACCCUUGGACUCAGCCCCUGUUAAUGUUGAAGGACCAGGGAACAUGAAUCUAGGUAGCUGCAGCUGUGGCUCUGGUUAAGGACCGUGCGAAGUGUAUUGGAGAAUGUGUUUCCAGCUCACCAAAGUAAAAAAGACUACCCGACCGCACAGAUUCGCAGUCGAGUUGAAAUCGAUCUGAAAAAAGGAAUUGGUGCACGUUAAUUUGAACCAAAUCUCCCAAGAGCCAAGACGACAGGAUCAGAGCUCACCAAAGGAGAUCACAACACUGGAUGUGAGUUCCUGAGAACCUGCUGUGAAUACGCCAGCGAUUUAAUAGCCCUUGGAACCUGCAAGUUAGGUAACAUCCAGACCUCCUUCCCAAAUGAAGGACCGUGGCACAGGUGUCUUUGGAUGACCUGAAACUCACACGAGCAGCCUGCCUUUGAACGUAUGGACAGGCAUAUUGGCUCAGCUUCCAGAGUGCUGGGAUUAUAGGCAUGUGCCACCAUGCAGAACUCUGUUUUGUAUUUUGAGACAGGGUCUCACUUUCUAACCCAUCUGAGUUACAGCAAGCCUCCUGCCCUGGCCUCUAGAGUGCUGGGUUUUCAGGUGUAUAUAACCAUACCCAAUUUACUUUCUGCAUCUUAGGAUGUUUUGGAAUUUCCCAAAGCUUGAAGGCUUGGGGGAGGUUUAUGCUGUUAGGUAGGUCAUUGUUUGGGGCCACAGAAAAAACGCUCUCUACCAGGGGCGUGGCUAUCUUGAACAAACUAACCAGUCCUGAGUCUGUAUUCCUGAUAACUUCCUGAUUUAAGUCUCACACUCAAACCAGUUUUUCUCUUCUCCUAACUCACCCAGAGCCAGGUAUCAGGAGACAAGCCACCACUUCUGUACCCAAACCCAUUGAACUAUUCUAGUUUGCCAAUGCUUGCUGUGCCCAGGUUUGCUUUUCCCUUAGAAAUGCCAGCAAAGUCUCUACCCCAGACUUUGCUCCACAUUCUGCAACUUUGUUUUAAAAGAUUGGGCUACUCUGCAACUUUCCACGUAGCCUACUGACCUUGACUUGAUUCUCCUGAGUCAGACUCCUGAGUGCUGAGAUUGCAUGUGCACAUCUGCACACGGAGCAUCCUCCCAUCAACCUGUGUUCUACAGACAGAUUCGGUGCUCGCCCUUGGCCCUGCCUAGCCAUGGGGUACCCCCCUUCUCUGGGUAAGAUCUGUGACUGUAGAACCGUCUUCCUUCCAAGUUUCCUUUUGAUCCCCUCCUGGGGCUAUAAGAGCUUUACCAUGCCACCUCCAAUCCCUGCAUCCUUAGCAAGUACAGGUAUCUAGGAAAGUGGCCAUGAGGACACAGGACAGAUGAUAAGCCAAAAGUCUUAACUCACCUCGAGAAAUAGAUGAAAGAAACUCGGAGACGAUUGGGAAUUCUCCUCUUUGAGUUAUGAUCUUCUUGGGGGGGGGGCGGGGGCUGGCAACAGACUUGACCACAGGAGUCAGAGGUCCUAGGACCUAAUGACUUGGUCACUGUCUGUCACACCAAUAAACCUUCUAGAAAAAAGAUGAGGGGUUGUUAUUUAAAAAGGAUACUAGGGGCCAGAAGGAUGGCUCAAUGGGUAUACCGUGAUUACUCAAAUUCUAUCCCCAAGACCCAUACAUUAGAAAAAGUUGACUCCUCCAAGUGUCCUCUGAUCUCCACAUGUACACUGAGGUCUGCAUGCCCACUGCCAACACACAUAAAAAUAAAUGAAUGUCAUAAAACAUUCAUAAAAAGGGCAUUAGGACUAAGGAAACAAAAGCAAUUUGCAGAGUGCUACCCUAGUGUGCAGGAAGCUAUGCAUUCCUUCUGCUAAAACACAUAAUGGGCAGUUUGGAAACUCGGACCUGUACUCCUGCGGGUAGGGGUAGCUGGAUCAGGAGUUGUCUUUUCUGGUGACAUAGUAAGUCCUUUGUUAUCUUACAUGGCUACAUGUGACCACGAAAUGCCAAUAAAGGCUCUCUCUCAGAAUCUCUGCCCAUUCUCAAUCUCUCUCUCUGUCUCAUCUCUCUGUCUCUCUCUCUCUGUCUCUUUCUCUCUGUCACUCUGUUUCUCUCUCUCUCUCUCUCUCUCUCUCUCUCUCUCUCUCUCUCUCUCUCUCGUGUGUGUGUGUGUGUGUGUGUGUGUGUGUGACACCAACACCUGACAUGGUGGGUGGGUAUAGGCCACAGGACCUCCCUGAGCAUCAGAUCUUGCUUUUGACCUUUCUUGAGGUGGGGGUUUCUUGUUCUCCUUUGCAUAUGCCAGGCUAGCUGACCAAUGAGUUUCCAGAUAGCCUCCUCUCUCUGCCUGCCCUCUGACCAUAAGAGAGCUGGGAGUACUACCACACACUGCCCCACUUGUUGGGACUAGAGGCCCACAUCACCACAUGCUGGUGUUGGCCCUCAUUCUUAUCUUCCACCACUUGAUCCAGUCUAGGACCACCCUCCACUCUGCCUGCCAUGAAUUAACUCCUCUCUGGGUGGGAUCUGUGACUGUAUAACCAUCUUCCUUCUAAGUCUGCUUCAAGUCCUUUCUUGGGAUGAUAAAGUCUUUAUCAACCCACCUUCCACUUCUGCAACAUUAGUAUACACUGCAAGUGUUGGGGAAAGGGGCUGGGUGGGGCAUAGGUCAGAUGCCAAGCCAGGGAUAUAAUUUACCUCAAGAAAUAGAGGGAAGAGACUUGGGAUUUCUCUCUGAAGGGAGAUCCUAAGGGUGAAAGGUAAUGACGGAAAAUGACUACUAAGGUCAGAGGUCUUCUGGCAGGAAUGAUGUCAGUCAGCACUGGCAGCACAGGUCAGACUCCUGAAAGCAAAGGUUCGGGACUUUUCUUAGAAAAGAUAUGAGGGUGGGGGUUGUAACUCAGUAGUAGAGUGCUUUCUUAACUUGCCUGAAGCCCUGGGUUUGAUUCCCCAGCACCAAAUGUAAAUGGGGCUUCCUAUGCCUGUAAUCCCAGCCCCUGGGGAGGCAGAGGCAGGGGGAGCAGGUUAUCCUGUGCUACAUUGCAAGGUCGAGGCCAGCCAGAGCUACCUGAGUCCCAGUCUCAGGAAAGUUUAAAGAAAAAUCAACAG